rnacentral:rRNA from 1 species
UAAGGAAUCUUCCACAAUGGACGAAAGUCUGAUGGAGCAACACCGCGUGCAGGAUGACGGUCUUCGGAUUGUAAACUGCUUUUAUAUGGGAAGAUUAUGACGGUACCAUAUGAAUAAGCACCGGCUAACUACGUGCCAGCAGCCGCGGUAAUACGUAGGGUGCAAGCGUUAUCCGGAAUCACUGGGCGUAAAGCGUGCGUAGGCGGAAGCUUAAGUGUGAUGUUAAAUCGUGGGGCUCAACCCCGUCGAUGCAUUGCAUACUGGGUUUCUAGAGGAAAGCAGAGGCAAGUGGAACUCGUAGUGUAGCGGUAAAAUGCGUAGAUAUUACGAAGAACACCAAUGGCGAAGGCAGCUUGCUGGGCUUUUUCUGACGCUGAGGUACGAAAGCGUGGGGAGCGAACAG